UACGUAGGGGGCAAGCGUUGUCCGGAAUGAUUGGGCGUAAAGGGCGCGUAGGCGGCCGACUAAGUCUGGAGUGAAAGUCCUUCUUUUAAGGAGGGAAUUGCUUUGGAAACUGGCUGGCUUGAGUGCAGGAGAGGUUAGUGGAAUUCCCGGUGUAGCGGUGAAAUGCGUAGAGAUCGGGAGGAACACCAGUGGCGAAGGCGACUAACUGGACUGUAACUGACGCUGAGGCGCGAAAGUGUGGGGAGCAAAC
rnacentral:rRNA from 1 species